UCCUAAUUAGUCCAGAGGCUAGGAUAUUCCGCUUUCAAAUCUCAGCAAUGAGACUGAUGGGCCGGAAAGACCCGGGUUCGAUUCCCGGAUUGGGAA
rnacentral:tRNA from 1 species